rnacentral:tRNA from 1 species
GUGGUUAUAGCUCAGUGGCACAGCACUUGCUUAGUAUGUGUGAGGCACUGGGUUUGAUCCUCAGUACCACA